CCUUCUUGUUUACUAUUUUUCUCUGUUUUUAGAUUGUGUCAGGAGUCAUCUUUUUUUUUUGAACUAUUAGGCAGGCGUAAUAGUGUUAGGAAUCAUCAAAUAGAAUAGUAUUUCUUUGUUUGUUGUCAGUUUUUGUCAGCAUAAAAUAGAUUUGAGAGAAAUUCAUUAUUCUGCAUAAAGUAGAUUUGGGAGAAAUGGUAGUGAUUGUAUACAAUUUG
rnacentral:lncRNA from 1 species